CUCACAGCCAACAUGCCAUGGUAACUGAGACAGGAAUCAUGCCGUUGAGACACUGGUGUUAUUUAACCAAAUCAUGGUAACUGAAAUUUGUGCAUAUUGGAACUGCACAAAGUGAGGACUGAUUGUCCUGAAUUGAUAUAAAAUUACUUACACCUAGAAAGGCCAGUGCAACAAUCAGUAUGUACAUUGUAAUCUGAUUAGAAAACUGAUAAGAGAAAAAUACGGAAAAAAUAUUAUUCACAAUAACUACUCCUAAGUUAUAAUUCUUAUGAAUAAGCUCAAAAAAGAAUGGGCAAAGGUUAUAUUUAAAAACAAACUUUAUUGAAAGAUGUAAAGGAAGACAUGGAUAAACGGAGAAACAUCUUCCUGGAAAAGCAGAGUCAACAUUUUGAAGCCUAUAACUGCAGCUGCCUGCAAAACCCAAGGAAUUAGGCCCAGAGCCAGAAACACAUCGCUCUCCUAGACAAU
rnacentral:lncRNA from 1 species